AUUCUUUUGGAGUAAGAAUAGCAAUGGAACGGGCAUCCACAAUGUGAGUUGUCAUACGAUUUUAGCAGGGCUUAUGUCAUCCCCCUCCGAAUAAAGCUUCAUUCCUUUGGGACCCUUGGUGUUUUGAUAUCCUAGUCGCCAUCAAACCUACUUUCGUUAACAUGGACAUUGAUUUACAUCAAGUUUCUCUUAAUGAUUUGGUUUCGGGUAAUCAGUGGGAUCGUUCUGGUCUCACUGAUUUGUUUGGAAGCACUUUUGUUAUAGAUAACAUUUCUCUGGCCAGCAUUGAUUAUGAUUCUGAGAACCAUUGGGUUUGGCAGCCUAGAUCCAAUUGUCCUAAGAUAUCUUCAGCUGUAUAUCACCAAAUCAACAAGGGUUCCUCUUAUGCUGAUAGUUGGUCUGGUUGGGAUGUGAUUUGGCAUAUUCUUGUUGCCCCUCUCUUGAGGCAUUUCAUUUGGCUGUGCAUCCAUGGCCAUUUAACUACUUCUGCCUUUCUGCAUCGUAUGAACUUGGGGCCCUGAUAAUCCUUGUAUCUUAUAUGGGGUACAUAGGGAAACGAAUGAUCACUUAUUCAGUAGUUGUGUUGGUGCUCAACGUGUAUGGAACUACAUCAACCUUAGAGAAAACUUAAACAUUCAAUGGAAUGAUGGUUUCUCUGCUUGUGCUUGGAUUGUUGAGCAUCGGCAUUCCAAAUGGUGUAUAGCUCUCAUUGCUGCUGGAGCUUGAGCUAUUGCUGACGUUAAAGACUUCUCCCACAGCCUGAGGGAUCCCAUUGGCAAAAGGAUUAUUUUGAAUAACUUGACUUGCGCUGAUGGGCAACUCGUCUUCACUCAUGUCAUCUCCAACACCAGCAUGCAGGUAAGGGCUUUUGGAUUUUUCUUUGUCGAUGCUUAUUACCGUAUCUCCCUUGCAGGUUGUACGUCACAAAACAUGGCUAACAACUCUUCCGAAAACCUGCUCGUCGUUGACGUUGCUCUGCAAACUGCUCUGGAUUCUGGAUUCUGGAUUGUGUGUUUGACGCAUAUUCAUUGAUCACAUCAACACUACCGAGCUCCUUGAGAACCCCAACCAUUACCUUUCUUGGCGCUUCGCAGAUCAGAUUUCUAAUCUAAACUUUAUGUUGGACAUGUUAAACCGCCCGAAGAUCCAUGUGAUCCCUCCUGUAUGGAUGCAACCGGCCAUUAAUCUCGCUGCUCAUGGAUUUCGACAUCGUCACCUUAAUAUGUUUCUCUUUGGCAGAGAUGUGCCCCAUUGGAUCAUGAGAUCCUUCCAUCAGAACGGUUUUAAUUUUUAGUUGUUGUUGUUUUUCCUUUUUUUAGCUUCCUCUGUUUUUGUUUGGAGUAGUGGUUGUAGUUUAGUUUCUAAUAAAAUUAGCUUCUCGUUUUUGAGAAGUUCUUCCAAAAAAAAUGACCAAUUUAGAUGUAAGGGUGUAAUUCAGAGAUGAAAAUGCGCACUGCAUUUUCAUU